rnacentral:rRNA from 1 species
UACGGGGGGGGCAAGCGUUGUUCGGAAUUACUGGGCGUAAAGGGUGCGUAGGCGGCCCUGUAAGUCAGUUGUGAAAUACGGCAGCUUAACUGUCGAGGUGCAAUUGAUACUGCAGGGCUUGAGUACUGAUGAGGUAGGCGGAAUGGACGGUGUAGCGGUGAAAUGCUUAGAGAUCGUCCAGAACACCGAUAGCGAAGGCAGCUUACUAAGGAGUAACUGACGCUGAGGCACGAAAGUGUGGGGAUCAAACAGG